CCGCGCAUCAGCCCGGGGUGGGAUAACUUGUGUGCGGUCCUGGAAUCGUGAGAACUUCCAAUGACUUGGCAAAUCUCACUGAAUCACUGAUGUUUUGCUGCCAUCUCCACCCAUGCCUGUCCCUUGCUUGCUCCCUCGCCGGGUGUCAGUUCGCCAGCCUACGUGCUGAGAAGAAAAGUUAAAAAGGUAUUAAGUUGAUGGCACAACAAUCCCUGGGUACAUCAGAUUCGCUUUCCUGCCCUCCCCUGCCUGAAUGCAGACCUUGUGCAUCCCUGUGCCCGGAGCAGCCAAAGGAGCAGGCCCACAGGAAUGCAGGUCUGGCCAGGAAAUCUUCAAGUAGCAGCACUUUCCCUUUGAAGCAGGUGAAACCGAUUUGAGUUUCCUGAGGUUUCUCAAACGAGCUGCAGGGGUGCUGCCCCCUUCAAUCCCGCUUGUCUCCUGUGGUACAGCCUGCGUCUGGAAGGAGGAAGGAGUCAGAGAUCACCUGCUGAACCCACUCCUCUGGGUACCAUCACCGUGAUGCUACGAGCAAGGAAGGAGACAUUUGAUUACAUUCAGUCCUUACUCAUCUGAAGUAUCCGUGGGCUCAUUUCAGAGCAGCUGUUCCCUCUGGAUUUGCAGAGUGGUUCCCUGAUGUGAUACACAUUCCCUUGUAACAGCGGCUAUAUUUUUCCUUCCUGUAUUUAUCUGGACAUCGUUGCCAGUGCUUGAAUCACAGGAAGGAGAAACUUCAAGGACCCACAGGAACUGAGAGCCACCCAGAAGUGCUGGGAGCUCUUGGAGGUGAAGUGUUUGUCCAGGUCUCAGGAGAUGACUAGGCUGGAGUCAGCAUCCCAAGAUUGUGGCAGGCAUCUCUUACAGACUUCACGAGCAAUAAUCCUGUUUAUACCUCCUGGUCCAGUGGUUGCCUUUCUCAUGAGGGCAGAUGACUCCUGUUCACUGCAGCAUGAGCCGUGCCAGGCUCUCCCGGUGGUCAGCGGUCAUUCCCCAGACUUCAGACUCUCCAUGGACCUUGCCACCAUCUGCCUGAUUACUGGGAUGCUGGAGGCUGGGGUCAUCAAAUACUUCUCCCUGCUCCUGCAGCGCAGAACCAGUCGUGCCACCCAGCAAAUGCCAUCUGAAUGGUGUGGAAUGGACUUCUUGUGUGCUUAGAUACAUUAGGUCACGAGGUCAGCUUCUCAAAACUGCGCUUGUGUCGUCGUGCAUCCAGAGUCUGUGCCCUUGCAUCAAAAUAUCCCAGCACCAUCAGGAUACUUCAGUGCACAGAGGCUGCUGUCUAUGAGCUGUUUAUGCAACUCUCUCUCAAGUAAGUGCCUGGUCCAGGCCUGGGUGGAUGCAAGCUGGAAUUAUCCAUGUUUCUCAGUCAUACAUCUCGUUAGACCUCUGGUCCUUCAGACAAGAAACCCACAGCCUUCAAAAGGUGAGGAGGAUGCCUCCAGUUAACCUCUAAGAGGGGGGGAAAAAAGAUCCUGUAUUUCCUUUUAAUUGAUUUUUUAAACUCUGCCCUUCUAAAAAGGAUGAAAUAAAACCCAAGGCGCAUGUAGGUAUGAAACAGAGCAACCUGCGUCAGCAAGGAGCUCGCUUUUAAUCAACCAUCCGCCUGAAAUACCUGGGGGCAAGGAAGGAGGCUGCAGGAACAUGUUGCAGCAGGAUGAAGCCAUCCACAGGAGAGCUGCCACCCGGACGGGACUGCUGAACCUCUGAAAGUAUCUGGGUGCGUUCGGCGUCAUGUUCACACUUUGCUGACCUUGCAGAAGCCUCGGAGGAGCUGCAGUUUCGAAGCUAGUUCUGCAAAAUAAGAGGUUCCCCAGUGAAAGAACAUUCAGACUUAUACCAGGCACAACAUUAGCUGCAUGCUCUUAGGAUGGAAGCAUGCAGAGCAAACAAUGAAUCAAGGCUGUUUAUAAAGCCUUCAACACAUUAAGCAGUGGAGAAGAGCCCAAGUUUCCACGUAAAGGCCUGAAUGGACAAGAAUGACGUGAAACACAUGGAAAAUAUGGAAAAUGUGGAAUAAGUAAUAAAAUUAUAAAUAAAACAAAUACAAUAAAUUGGGAA